rnacentral:lncRNA from 1 species
GCAAUGCAACUUAAAGGGUUAAAUUAACCAAAAAAAGUUCAUACAUUUGUUUGAAAAAAGAUUUUAACACAGUACCAUGCCUGUUUGUAUUUUGAAGUUCCUUGAGUUAAACAUGAUACUGCAUAAAACCCUAGUAUAGGGAACCACCUCCAGACCAAUUUACACUCACCUGCGACAAAAUAGGGAGGUUGUGUGCUUGAUUUGCACAGUGCAACUCAAGUUGUAAGCAUCUUGCAUGGGACCAUCUGAUGCACAAGACUUUCCUCUUGAUGAGUAAAAUGAUCUGAUAUCAGUCAUUUGAGUUCCUUUGCAGCUUAAGGAGUUAAUCCUAUUUAUCUUAGAGAACAGCAAUUCAACUAUCUGGCUGGCUUGACAAAUAACUAUACACCAACAAUGUGUGCAAAGGCAAUUAAGAGUGUAUCCUUGGAAAAUUUUAUCUGAGAUUAUGCAGAGUUGUUUACAACUUUUUUGUUCAAGCCUAGUGACUUAUUUCAGUGCAUGAAAAUCAUCCCACCUUUCAUCCUGUCCUGACAAACUGGGAUCAUGUAAACAGCACAUUUAGCCAUUAAGUUGAUUUGCACUCUAAUUUUCCUACUUAUAUUAUUUAACUCUGUCUAACGUCAUACAAUUUUAUUAAGCAGGGGGUGCACUGGCAGUUAAUUAAUGGGUAACUAGACACAUGGGCAGUCUCAUUAUGAAGCAUAAAAUCGUCUAGCGUUGGACAGUAAAAUACUCAAGUAGAGCAUGCAUCAGGGCACAGUACAACCUAAUGGUUAAAUUUGUUUUUUUGUAGCAAAAUGGUUUAAGUUUUAUAUCUGAAUUUAAAAAAAAAUUUUUUGCUUUGUUUUACAGAUCAUUACUUGAACGUGC